AGCCCCUGAAUGGCAAGCCCCAUGCCCGGCGGUGUGGUGAAAGAAAGGCCUUUCGGGGUUGUAAAAGCCACUUUUCAGUCAGGAGGGAAAAGGUUAGUAGUUAAUACCUGCUAGCUGUGACGUUACUGACAGAAGAAGCACCGGCUAACUCCGUGCCAGCAGCCGCGGUAAUACGGAGGGUGCGAGCGUUAAUCGGAAUUACUGGGCGUAAAGCGUACGCAGGCGGUUUGUUAAGCGAGAUGUGAAAGCCCCGGGCUCAACCUGGGAACUGCAUUUCGAACUGGCAAACUAGAGUGUGAUAGAGGGUGGUAGAAUUUCAGGUGUAGCGGUGAAAUGCGUAGAGAUCUGAAGGAAUACCGAUGGCGAAGGCAGCCACCUGGGUCAACACUGACGCUCAGACGAAGCUAA
rnacentral:rRNA from 1 species